rnacentral:piRNA from 1 species
UACCUUUCUGGGGUAUUUGUAAGGCGCUG